GAUGAAGAACGUAGCGAAAUGCGAUAAGUAAUGUGAAUUGCAGAAUUCAGUGAAUCAUCGAAUCUUUGAACGCACAUUGCGCCCGCCAGUAUUCUGGCGGGCAUGCCUGUCUGAGCGUCAUUUCAACCCUCAUGCCCCUAGGGCGUGGUGUUGGGGAUCGGCCAAAGCCCGCGAGGGACGGCCGGCCCCUAAAUCUAGUGGCGGACCCGUCGUGGCCUCCUCUGCGAAGUAGUGAUAUUCCGCAUCGGAGAGCGAUGAGCCCCUGCCGUUAAACCCCCAACUUUCCAAGGUUGACCUCAGAUCAGGUAGGAAUACCCGCUGAACUUAAGCAUAUCUAUAAGCGGAGGA
rnacentral:misc_RNA from 1 species